ACGUAGUUGAGGAGCCGAAGAGAUUAGUUUAUCCAUCUUCAUCUUUUUCUGUCUAUUGAACCUGAUUUAGCCAUUUGCACUAGGUCAGCAGUAAUACGUUGUUACUCCAAGUAGAGCCAUGUGACCGUUGUUAUGAUCACUGAAGGCAAAGGACAUCAUUGUCUGUCAUCCAUUAAGUGGACUAUGGUGAUCAUGUUUCCCUGGGUCCCCCCUGCCAUCUAAGAUUUGACUUGUUUUUUCAUGGUUUUGGUUUUUGUUUGUUUUUGUUUUGUUUUGAGACUCCUGGGCCUGGUAGAAGAGAAGCAAUUCAUCCCAACUCUCCGUAUAGCCCUGGCUGGAACUUGCUAUGGAGACCAGCCUGGCCUGCAGCUCACUGAGGUCCACCUGCCUCUACUUCCUGGGUGCUGGGAUUAAAGGCGAGCACUGCCAUCAUGCCCAGUGUUGCCAGGGUUUUUUUUGUUUUUGUUUUUGUUUUUGUUUUUUUGGUUUUUUUGGUUUUUCGAGACAGGGUUUCUCUGUAUAGCCCUGCCUAUCCUGGAACUCACUUUAGACCAGGCUGGCCUCGAACUCAGAAAUCUGCCUGCCUCUGCCUCCCAAGUGCUUAAAGGUGUGCGCCACCACGCCCGGCACCAUUUUUUUUUUUUAAUAAACACUUUUAUUUAUUCUUUGACAAUUUCAUACACACAUACCAUGUGUCUAUUGAUUCUUGGUCCCCAACUCUCCUCUCACAUUUUCCCUUACCCCUUCAGCUUGUCUUUCUUUAAUCCUUAUUAUUCU
rnacentral:lncRNA from 1 species